rnacentral:rRNA from 1 species
GAUGAACGCUGGCGGCGUGCUUAACACAUGCAAGUCGAACGAAGCACUUUAUUUGAUUUCCUUCGGGACUGAUUAUUUUGUGACUGAGUGGCGGACGGGUGAGUAACGCGUGGGUAACCUGCCUUGUACAGGGGGAUAACAGUUGGAAACGGCUGCUAAUACCGCAUAAGCGCACGGCAUCGCAUGAUGCAGUGUGAAAAACUCCGGUGGUAUAAGAUGGACCCGCGUUGGAUUAGCUAGUUGGUGAGGUAACGGCCCACCAAGGCGACGAUCCAUAGCCGACCUGAGGGGGUGACCGGCCACAUUGGGACUGAGACACGGCCCAAACUCCUACGGGAGGCAGCAGUGGGGAAUAUUGCACAAUGGGCGAAAGCCUGAUGCAGCGACGCCGCGUGAGCGAAGAAGUAUUUCGGUAUGUAAAGCUCUAUCAGCAGGGAAGAUAAUGACGGUACCUGACUAAGAAGCACCGGCUAAAUACGUG